AGUGAACGCUGGCGGCGUGCUUAACACAUGCAAGUCGAACGAGAACGGGUUAUAGCUUGCUAUAAUUGUCAGCUAAGUGGCGCACGGGUGAGUAAUGUAUAGGUAAUAUGCCUCUUACUAAGGGAUAACAAAUGGAAACGUUUGCUAAUACCUUAUACUCCUUAUUAACAUAAGUUAGUAAGGGAAAGAUUUAUUGGUAAGAGAUUAGCCUGUAUUGUAUCAGUUAGUUGGUGGGGUAAUGGCUUACCAAGACUAUGACACAUAACUGGUUUGAGAGGAUGAUCAGUCACACUGGAACUGAGACACGGUCCAGACUCCUACGGGAGGCAGCAGUGGGGAAUAUUGCACAAUGGACGAAAGUCUGAUGCAGCAACGCCGCGUGGAGGAUGACACAUUUCGGUGCGUAAACUCCUUUUAUAUGAGAAGAUAAUGACGGUAUUAUACGAAUAAGCACCGGCUAACUCCGUGCCAGCAGCCGCUGUAA
rnacentral:rRNA from 1 species